rnacentral:tRNA from 1 species
UUCCCUGUGGCUCAGUUGGUAGAGCAUGGUGUUUGCAACGCCAGGGUUGUGGGUUCGAUUCCCACGGGGGAAU